rnacentral:rRNA from 1 species
GCUGGCGGCACGCCUUAUACAUGCAAGUCGAACGAAGUAGCAAUACUUAGUGGCAGACGGGUGAGUAACAUGUGGGUAUCUUCCCUUUGGUGAGGAAUAACACGAGGAAACUUGUGCUAAUACCUCAUAAGUCUUUACGGAGAAAGCUUUAUGCGCCAUUGGAUGAGCCUGCACUUGAUUAGUUAGUUGGUGGGGUAAAGGCCUACCAAGACUUUGAUCAAUAGCUGAUUUGAGAGGAUGAUCAGCCACAUUGGGACUGAGACACGGCCCAAACUCCUACGGGAGGCAGCAGUAAGGAAUCUUGCACAAUGGAGGAAACUCUGAUGCAGCGAUGCCGCGUGAGUGAAGAAGGCCUUUGGGUUGUAAAGCUCUUUCGUCGGGGAAGAAAAUGACUGUACCCGAAUAAGAAGGUCCGGCUAACUUCGUGCCAGCAGCCGCGGUAAUACGAAGGGACCUAGCGUAGUUCGGAAUUACUGGGCUUAAAGAGUUCGUAGGUGGUUAAAAAAGUUGGUGGUGAAAUCCCAGAGCUUAACUCUGGAACUGCCAUCAAAACUUUUUAGCUAGAGUUUGAUAGAGGAAAGCAGAAUUUCUAGUGUAGAGGUGAAAUUCGUAGAUAUUAGAAAGAAUACCAAUUGCGAAGGCAGCUUUCUGGAUCAUUACUGACACUGAGGAACGAAAGCAUGGGUAGCGAAGAGGAUUAGAUACCCUCGUAGUCCAUGCCGUAAACGAUGUGUGUUAGACGUUGGAAAUUUAUUUUCAGUGUCGCAGCGAAAGCGAUAAACACACCGCCUGGGGAGUACGACC